GCGGGUAUGGCGUAAUUGGUAGCCGCGCCAGACUUAGGAUCUGGUGCCGUAAGGCGUGGGGGUUCGAGUCCCUUUACCCGCAC
rnacentral:tRNA from 1 species